AUGGCUGAUCCGCUUGCUCCGGAUGCUCUGCCUUCCGUGCAAAUGGUUGAUUGGAGACCCUUGUGCCUAGCAGCGAGGCCAUCCCUGUUCCUCGUCCUCCUCACACCCUUGCCUGGUAACCGGAAAGAGACCAAGAGGCUCAUGGACCAAGCCGGCACCAAGUCUGAGCAAGAGAAGAGGGCAAUUCGUAGAUUGAAGUGGUUAACAGAGACCGGACUUGCCUCGCACAUCGACGCCCGGUACCUCUACGUGCUCACAUGCGCCCACAUCGUCGACCACCUUUUUCACGCGGUGGACAGCCCAAUCCAAGCAGAGAAGGUGCAGGAGCUGUUCAGGGUCGAGGUCACCUGCCACCACGCCGAGAGAGCCUUCAUCGAGGGGGGGAGGGUCGGCGACCGAGCCUACGCGCCGGCGACAGUGUGCGGGAUCAACUGCGCCAGCGACCUCAUGCUGCUGCGCGUCGACCUCGGCGACCUGCCCCUGAGGUUCAACGACGACGGGCAGAUGGAGGCGUGCCCGCAUCCGCACCCGAUCCCGCACUUCUCCCCAGAGCAGGUGCCGGCCGCCGCCCAGCUGAUGCUGCUUUCUUGGCCCGAGUUCCGGCCCUGCACGUUGGCCACGGGCCUUUACUGCAUGCAGCGGUUUCUGCCUGACAUGAGCACCAACCCUGUUGGAUACGAUCUCUUUCUUCUGGAGGCGUACAUGGGAAGCCAGGGGGGCUCCUCAGGAGGGCCGCUGUUCGAUUCUUUCCGGCGGGUCAAGGGCAUCCUUCACGGCGGCUCUGGCGGACCGCACUCCCACUUUAUCCCGUCCAGAAUCAUUCUCCCUUUCAUCCAGGCGUACGCGGUCCCUCCAAAGCCUCCAGCCCCAGCUCCCUCUGCAGAUGACAAGCCAGGUCCUCCUCCGGGGCCGGGAGAUCGCAAGCGCGGCCCCCCAAAAGAUGACAAGUCUGGUGGCUCCAAGCGACGCCUGUCUUCUGGUUCCCAAGGCAAGAGCAGCAAGUCCGCUGCUGCUGCAGAACCAGAGGUAUUGUCAUCUCAUUGGAAGAUGGCAUGUUCAAGUUCCUCUGCUUAA
rnacentral:rRNA from 1 species